GGUGUCAUCAGGGAACUUUCCAGACAUGGGAUUCAAGGGAAGAGAAGACUUAAUGGAUACCUUCUCUUUGGAGAAAGUAAUCCCCUACACUGAAGCAUCGAGCAUUCCCAGGACUUCUCCUCACUUCAAUGUCCAACAAGGCCAUCCUCUUCUUCCUAUGCAUCUGGAGCCAAGGGUCAAGGCCAUGUAUGAAAAUUC